rnacentral:rRNA from 1 species
CCUACGGGCGGCAGCAGUGAGGAAUAUUGGUCAAUGGACGAGAGACUGAACCAGCCAAGUAGCGUGAAGGAUGACUGCCCUAUGGGUUGUAAACUUCUUUUAUCUGGGAAUAAAAUGUUCCACGUGUGGGCUUUUGUAUGUACCAUAUGAAUAAGGAUCGGCUAACUCCGUGCCAGCAGCCGCGGUAAUACGGAGGAUCCGAGCGUUAUCCGGAUUUAUUGGGUUUAAAGGGAGCGUAGGUGGAUUGUUAAGUCAGUUGUGAAAGUUUGGGGCUCAACCGUAAAAUUGCAGUUGAAACUGGCAGUCUUGAGUACAGUAGAGGUGUGCGGAAUGCGUGGUGUAGCGGUGAAAUGCUUAGAUAUCGCGAAGAACUCCGAUUGCGAAGGCAGUACACUGGACUGCAACUGACACUGAGGCUCGAAAGUGUGGGUAUCGAACAGGAUUAGAUACCCUUGUAGUC